GAAACAGAGAGAAAGACAGAGAAAAGAGGCAGAGGAGAGCACAAGCAUCGAAAGAAAAGGUUUUUGUGUCUUACUCUCUUCUUUGAAGAAGAGAGUGGGAGAGAAUGGAGUUUGAGACAACCAGCAGUUGGAUAUGGGAUGGGGUGCAUCACCACCCACAUGUCUUUGGCUGUUUAAUGUUAACGGCUGCCUUGUUGGGAUUGUCCACCAGCUAUUUUGGUGGAAUUGGACUUUCUUCUUUCCCUUAUAUGUGUUGGGAUCUUGGUUUUUUCUACAAGAAGAGAUGUGAGAAGAAGAAACCCAUUCGCGUUUACAUGGACGGUUGCUUUGAUCUUAUGCAUUAUGGCCAUGCCAAUGCUUUAAGGCAAGCUAAGGCUUUGGGUGAUGAAUUGGUAGUAGGUGUUGUCAGUGAUGAGGAGAUUAUUUCCAAUAAGGGUCCCCCUGUUUUGCCUAUGGAAGAGAGGUUGGCUCUUGUCAGUGGAUUGAAGUGGGUGGAUGAAGUCAUAGCCAAUGCUCCAUAUGCCAUUACAGAGCAGUUCAUGAAAACUCUCUUCAAUGAGCAUAAGAUUGACUAUAUCAUACAUGGUGAUGAUCCUUGUCUGCUUCCUGACGGAACUGAUGCUUAUGCCUUAGCCAAGAGAGCUAGACGCUACAAGCAGAUUAAACGUACUGAAGGGGUCUCCAGCACAGAUAUUGUAGGAAGGAUACUUGCUGUGAAUGAUACAAAAGUUUGUAAUCAUGAUGAUAAAUUGUCUUCAUCUGGAGAUUCCUUCACUGGAAAUCAAUCCAGUAGUGCCCAUAUAUCUCAAUUUCUACCUACGUCACAGCGAAUUGUGCAAUUUUCAAAUGGCAAGGGACCUGGACCAAAUGCUCAUGUUGUGUACAUUGAUGGGGCAUUUGAUCUCUUCCAUGCUGGACAUGUGGAGAUUCUCAGGUGUGCUAGGCAGCUUGGAGAUUUUCUGCUGGUUGGGAUCCACACUGACCAGAUUGUGAGUGAACACAGGGGGAAGCACUACC
rnacentral:misc_RNA from 1 species